UUGCUUGGCCAUUCACAAUUGCAAAAUGAGAAUGAUGAUUACAUCUCCUAGGCAGCCAGGACCAUCUGAGGGAAGGUGUCAUAGUGUUUGAUUUGUACAGCUGCCAAGCCCUUUUGAGUUGCACCGAGUGCAGGGUAUUGUGGGAUGAAAUUCCUAGUAAGCAAGGUCCUCCAGCCCCUCGUGCAGAUCUGCUGCCAGUCUGAGCUCCAGGCCUGUCAGAAUGAUGUGUUUUCCAUUGGCUCAUCACAGAGAAGUGUCUGGGCUUCUCUUUAAUUGAAGAAUGCAACCCCGGCAUUUGUCAGCUCUCGGAGUGAAUUGCUGUUUAAAUCGCAGUGCUAUUCCCAAGUGCAUGUACUGAGCUUCAGCUGCUUUAGCGGAGGGAGGAUCUCUGGAUGAGGGGAAGGUGACUGGCAGCUGUUAACUGGUUUUCAUGCAUGAAGUAAAUACAUUAAGCCCACGUGGGAAGCUUUAAAAGGAGGUGCGGGAGGAUGGGCAGAGCAGCCCUACAGUCCCGUGCUUGAUUCAGGAUGAAGCAUCUCUGCAGCUACAGCCUUGAGGGAGGAGCCCCUGGUAGCAAGUCCUUGGGAAUGCGGAGGAGGGAGAGGGGCUUUCAGCUCCCCCUCCAGACAUGUGGAGCCAAAGACAGCAAGGCCAUUUCAUGUGUGUGAAACCUCUUUACCCCAAGAGCCAUGACAUGGCCUGAGCGGAGCCUGCCAGCGCACUGCCAGGACACUUCGCUCCUGCCCAAGAGCAGCCCCUGCCCUGUUCUGGCAGCGCAUCUCAGCCCUGCCCUGCUGCACCUGCUACACCAGGCUUUUCCCCGCCGUUCAUGCACGGUGGAGCUUCACCAGGGACUGAAACAGCAGGAAUCAGAGCAAGACAUAUAGCAUAGGUACAGCUUUGCUAAAUUCCUCUCCUCUCCACCCACCUGCAUUGGUCUUUCUGGAGCCCCGUGGCAGGAGGUUGGGGUGAUGGGGCUGCGCAGUGCUGCCCAGUGAGGGAGACCCCCUGGGUCCCAGUGACCGGCUGAGCCAUGACAGUUCAGUAACAGUGCUGAGAUUGGCAGCCCGCUGGUUAUGAAGCAGAAGCCACGGCUGUGCAGAGUUCGCAGCGAGCGAAUAGCAUGAGGGUGAGGAAGCUGGGCACUGAAAUCCCCUGCUGCGAAGGUCAGCUGACAGACAGGCACUUCUGCCUGCCAUCUGGGCUGAAGGAUCAUCUCAGAGCUGCUGCAUAGAUGACCUUUGGAAGGUAAAACUAGAGUGACUUCUGGCCUUCAGGAGCCCCUUGGAAAGGGCAAAGCUACUACCAUCUGGCCAGUCCUACCAGCUCUUGUGCCUGCGAGGGGCACAGCCAUGGUGUGGUGAGGUUGGGGAGCCCUGGCAUCACUGUUCCUAAACCAUCCUUCAGCAGCCGCUGGUUGGCUUGGCAGCUUGGUCCAUGUCCUGAGCGCAUCUAGAAGCUGCAAAUAUUGCUCAGAUCAGUAAUAGGGGGCCCAGGUGUUGAGUUUCCACUGCGCAAGCCUCCAUCCUUUCACUCCCCACGUGUCUCCUGAACAAGCUGCCAGACUUUCCUAGCCUAGCCAUGCCAGCUUCUAGCCCACUGUGUUUUGAGUGUGGGGCUUUGCCUUUGCCCAGUCAGUUCAUUGUCUUCGGCGACCUUACGUAAGCCUCUCAGGUUUGCACAUGGCAGACAAGGUGCAAGAUGAAAUAUGUAUGACACCUCUGGAAGUAGCUGCUUUGACUUGCAGUCCAAGAUUACUGCUCCCUUCGCUGCACAGAUGCCUUAAGGCUGUGAAUUGUGUGUUGCGUGUGUGGGCUGUGCAUUUUUUGCUGAGUUGCUCUGGGCUUUUGCAGCUAGGCAUAGAACAAAAGUGUUUGUACGAAAGGUGGAAUAACGGCAAGGAAGCUGUGAUGUGCCCCUCACUGUAGAGGUCAGCUAGGGAGAGCUUUGAGCUGCCCGAUUUUAAUCAUGGGCAGCAGGAAAAGGGCUGGAUGAUCUGCGAAUCUUCCAUCCCCAGAUGCUGUGAUCUUCUGUAGGAACAAUCUCCUUCCUCUAGCAGGUAUAGCACACCCCUCUGUAUUCAAAAGUCAAGCUUUGUCAAGUUAAAAUGAUGCAGACUUGAAUGAGAUUGCGUGUUUGUAGCUGGGGCUGAAAGGCUGGACUUCAGGGGGUCUCUGCAGGGGCUGAGGUACAGCAUGGAAACCAAACCCUCAAAGGCAGUUUGGAUCAGAGUUGCCUGUAAAUUGAAUUCUUUUUCUGGGUUUUGAGGCCUUUCCUCUGGGCUAGGCAGGGGGGAGACUUUGGAGCAUUUAUAAAUGCUCUGGAAAAAGAUCCUUUCAUACCUCCCCCAGUCACAGGGACUCAGCCUCUUUCCUCGCCCAUCAAGUAUAAUGAUUCACAGCCCAAGCUGAGCCAGCCUUCGCCCACCUUAGCGAGGGGGGUCUCCUCAGCCCUUGGCAUAGAGAUGGCGAACAGGGGAAGUCAUGCGGCUCUGCUUUGUCCAGUGCGUCCCUCCCUUCCACUGACACUGCCUAGAUCUGGACCAGGCUCGUCAUGCUGAUAGAGAUGCCCUGGACUAGUCCUGCUCAUAUAGCUCUUUCUCAGGUGUUUGCCUUGCACCUGACAUGAAAAUAGACAUGUUUCUGGAGGACAGCUCCAUCAGGGACUGUUAAUUAAACACAGCAGUCAGGGAUGUGGUUGAAAUGGGGAGGGAUCACUCAGCAAAAAUGUGUUUCUUAUACUCUCCUCUAAAGUUUUUGCUACUUGAUACUGUCAAAGUACUGGGCUGGAUGGACCUUGGGUAUAACCCAGUCUGGCAGUUCCUGCAUAGCCUUAUGCCCCCCACCUCCUCCCCAGUACACACACGCACACAUACACCAGAAAAAUAUCCAAAUUAUCACAUGUGUAGGGUGGGGGACUCUUCUCCUUCCCUGAGCAGGAAAUCACAUCCUCCUCCCACACUGGGAGUGGAGGCAAGAGGCCCUGGCUGCUUUGGGAAGGAUUCUUCAUGUGACCUUUCCUGAUUUUUCCAAAGCACUUGUGCCAGUACUGGCUCUUCCCCGAGCUCUGCCUAGUGCAUUUGUCUCCUCUCUCCCAUGUCUAAAGCAUGAAGGGUCUUUCCUGUGUUAUUGGAAGGGAAACUCAGCUUUAUAAAUAAACGGAGGUGCUGGCAUGUACAGUGUAAUGUGAACUGAAGGCUAAUUCAGGGCCCUGGAAGGCUUGGGAGCACAAGGAGCACUCCAAAGAGCUCAGUAACACGGAGAAGGGGGGAUUUACUGCUCAGCCCGUGGGGAGAGGAUGGGUGCUCCCCAGCUGGCUCAAGGCCUCAGCAGAGGACCAGAGUCAGUGCUUUAUAGCAAGCCACUGAGCCACUGGACCAGGGGGGUGAAGGGCUUGCAGAAGGGCUGCCCAAAGGGUACCUAAACAGCAAGUUCCCAGUGCAUAAGUGGCCUUUUCAGCACAGGUUACAAAUCUGCUAACCCUGCACUGAGGUUGUACAAGUGUGGAUGUGAGGACUGAGCAUAACUCAAGAUGGGGGCUAUCCUAUGUCUUAACUCCAAGACAUAGAAUAGCCUCCUAUGGGUUAGGGCAUUUGCUUAGGAAACAGGGCAGCUGACUUGUAGGGUCCUUUCACCCAGAGGGGGCUUGAUGCUGGGUUCGACUCUGUCUUUACAGCAUUGGGCUCUAACCAUUAUGCUACAGGUUAAGCAUUAUUUCGUCACUGCUCUUUUUAGUGAAACUUAGCCCUUGCAUUUACUAGUCCUUGGAUAAAAGGGAUUUGCUCCCUUCAAUACUCCCUACUACCGGCUUGUUCUCUCCCUCCCCUGCCAAACCCAUUCUGGGUGAUCACUGGUGGCAGCAGGGAGAUCUGUACUGGAGAUGCAGUUCCUGGGAGGCCACCCAUCAGCUGGGCAUGCUCAUGGAGAGGUUUGAAUUAGGAAGUAGUUGUACUUGCUUGUGCCAGUAUGGUGCUCAAGUAGCGCCUGCAGAUCUUUAAGUCCAUCCUUCUCUUACCAGCUGCACCCCUGGCUUGCCUGUUGUGAUCAGCAAUGGAGUAGCUAAGGACCGACUCUUGCGUACCUGCUCAUUAUGACAUUGUGAGGCUUGCAUUAAGGCCUCCUGCUCUGGGCUGUUUUCAGGCUCUCUUACACAUGUCGAGUUCAUGUGCAGCUUUCAGCAUGGGGCUAGAGCCCAUACAUUUUUUAAUAGAAAGCUGAGAUUCUAGCGCGUGGGCUGGCAGCCUUUGGAAAGUUACCGGCUUGCCAAGCUGGCGAGCACAAACAGCUUCACUUUUCAAACAAUGCUGAGAAUUAAUUUCUCCUUGCCCGAUUCCCCACCCUGAUUUCUUCUCCUACAGACCAGAGGGAGGAAUGGGGUGGCGUUUGCAUUGAGUAGGCAGUGUGUGGGCUGCUGAAUAAGCCAGGGUCUGUGCCCACCCUGGGUCCCUUCAGGGAAAGUGCGUCAGUCAGGAAGUGAUACAGCGGCUCCUUUGGUAUGUGCUCUGUGAACCAGAGAAAGAGGAGUUUGCCUGUGGUGAAUCAGGCUGCAAACCUUCAGGGAAGACUGGAAGCAGAAUGCAUCUGGUUUGCUGUGUGCAUCUUCUUCCCUGCGCUAUGAAGCACAGGGGCUGCAGGUCAGCUCUCUGAAUAGUUUCAGCCUGCUCCGUAGAUGUGGCAGUUCCUCACCUGCGGGAGAGCCAGGCUGGCUUGUUAGUUGUGCACAUCUCAGUCAAUAAAUUGAUUUCUUCUUUCUCUGUACUCAAAUGUACCUUCUCCACAGUGACAGUGCUCUCGCAGUGGGCUCCCUGCCUGUGGGAGGAAGUGCCUCAGCCUGCAUGCGCUGGGGAUUUUAAUCGCAGCUCCAACCAAGUGCAUGGCACGCCAACAAUAGGGGCAGCUGUGUGCAAUAGAAGUGCCUUUUUCUUCCAGGUCUCAUCAUCUGUCUUUUGAUCGAACGGUCUGACUGGGUGCUGCUGCAUUAGCCAGACCAUGCAAGUGCCUGGGGGGAGAAGAGGGAACCAGAGAGAUGGCUUUGAUUGCUUUUCUGUAGGCUCCUGGGUCCAGACAUGGCUGCUCUUUCAGCUGUCUAAGCAACCUGUGAGAAGGCACCUGGAUGGUGAACAAGGCCGAGAGAGCUUGGCCUCUUAGAGGAAACAGGCCAGCCGCUCAUAGUAAAUAGGGUGUAAUUGGUUCUCACUAGGCAUCUCCUUAGAAACAGUGGAGGAGUGUGCAUGCAUCCAUCCUAUUGUCCUUUGAGUGCCUCUGGCUCAUUAACCCUUCUGCUUCCUAUUAGGUGUUUCAAUGAACCACCAGAACAGUUAUUUCAGCUGGCCCCUCUUGAGAGGCCUGUGGAGGCAGAGGGACUACAUGGUGUCCACCAGCAUCUGGAGCAGCCCAGCUCCUUUCACACACUGGGCAGAGACCAAGCGUUGUCUCUCCUUGUCCCUGCUGGCACCUCUGUGGCAGAAAAGCUGGAGAUCCUCCCCACAAAAGGCAUCUCCUCUACACAUCCCUGCUGCUUGCUAGUCAAAUUCAGAAGACACCAAACUCCACUCAAGCCUUUCGAAAUGAAAAGACUGAACAACAGGAUCAGAAAAAACACUUCCAUGAAAAGGUAAGGAUAUGGGGGCUGCAGCUUUUCAGCAUCACUUCCUGGAAGGGGAAUCUUGAAUAAUACAGGGACAGCAAGAGCCAAGGGCAGGGACUGAAUGUACCUGACACAGCCCGUGGUUCACCUUUUGAAUGACCAUAUUAAUACUACAUUUGCAUGUAUUGUCACCUUAAAAUAAAAACCAUCCUAUUAGAGAAUAACCCAAAGCAAAGGGUGACAGAG